UCUCCCUGAGGGUUUAACCCUCCUGAAGGGCCGUGGAAGACUACCACGUUGAUAGGCUGGGUGUGGAAGCGCUGUGAGGCGUGAAGCUAACCAGUACUAAUUGCCCGUGCGGCUUGACUAUAUAAGAGA
rnacentral:rRNA from 1 species